rnacentral:rRNA from 1 species
AACGCUGGCGGCGUGCCUAACACAUGCAAGUCGAACGAGAGAGUGGGACUGUAGCAAUACAGUUGCACCAGUAAAGUGGCGAACGGGUGAGUAACACGUAGCUAACCUACCCUCGAGCGGGGAAUAACCCGGGGAAACCUGAGCUAAUACCGCAUAAUAUUCCGGUGGCCUAAGUCGCCGGGAUCAAAGGCCCGCAAGGGUCACUUGAGGAGGGGGCUGCGGCCGAUUAGCUAGUUGGUGGGGUAAUGGCCUACCAAGGCGAUGAUCGGUAGCCGGCCUGAGAGGGCGCACGGCCACACUGGCACUGAAAUACGGGCCAGACUCCUACGGGAGGCAGCAGUGGGGAAUUUUGCACAAUGCCCGAAAGGGUGAUGCAGCAACGCCGCGUGAGGGAUGAAGGCCCUCGGGUCGUAAACCUCUUUCGAUCGGGAAAAACGGGCGGGUGAAGAGCCCGCUCUGAUGGUACCGGAUGAAGAAGCCCCGGCCAACUACGUGCCAGCAGCCGCGGUAAUACGUAGGGGGCAAGCGUUGUUCGGAAUUACUGGGCGUAAAGGGCGUGUAGGCGGUGCGGUAAGUUGGACGUGAAAUCCCCGGGCUUAACUCGGGGCGGUCGUUCAAAACUGCUGUGCUAGAGUGUGGGAGAGGGAAGUGGAAUUCCCGGUGUAGCGGUGAAAUGCGUAGAUAUCGGGAAGAACACCUGUGGCGAAGGCGGCUUCCUGGCCCACAACUGACGCUGAGGCGCGAAAGCUAGGGGAGCAAACAG